rnacentral:rRNA from 1 species
AACGUAGGAGGCGAGCGUUAUCCGGAUUCACUGGGCGUAAAGCGCGUGUAGGUGGCUCGCUAAGUCGAUUGUGAAAGCCCCUGGCUUAACUGGGGGAGGCCAAUCGAUACUGGUGGGCUUGAGGGCAGAAGAGGAAGGUGGAAUUCCCGGUGUAGCGGUGGAAUGCGUAGAGAUCGGGAGGAACACCAGUGGCGAAAGCGGCCUUCUGGUCUGCCCCUGACACUGAGACGCGAAAGCGUGGGUAG